CAGCUGUCUGUGAGGACUCAGGCAAGAAUAUAUUAACAAGUUGAUACAAAGGCAUGGAAAACUGACUAACAGGCAUUUACACCAUCAAACCAUAAGGCGACAACUGAUCAAACACACAAUCAAAUCUAUUCAAGUCGAAACAAGAAGAAAGAAAAACUCUAACAUCUGAAAACAGUAUUUCCAGUCCAGAAACAAAAGAUUAAGUUUCCAAAAAUUAAUAAAAAGUGACGAC
rnacentral:lncRNA from 11 species